rnacentral:rRNA from 1 species
CACGUAGUUAGCCGUGACUUUCUGGUUAGAUACCGUCACUGCGUGAACAGUUGCUCUCACGCACGUUCUUCUCUAACAACAGAGCUUUACGAGCCGAAACCCUUCUUCACUCACGCGGUGUUGCUCCAUCAGGCUUGCGCCCAUUGUGGAAGAUUCCCUACUGCUGCCUCCCGUAGGAGUAUGGACCGUGUCUCAGUUCCAUUGUGGCCGAUCAGUCUCUCAACUCGGCUACGCAUCACAGCCUUGGUAGGCCGUUACCCUACCAACAAGCUAAUGCGCCGCAGGUCCAUCCCAAAGUGAUAGCCGAAGCCAUCUUUUAAAUUUGAAUCAUGCGAUUCAAAUUGUUAUGCGGUAUUAGCAUCUGUUUCCAAAUGUUAUCCCCCGCUUUGGGGCAGGUUACCUACGUGUUACUCACCGUCCGCCACUCGCUGGUAAACCAACGUCAAGUCCGUGCAAGCACGUUCAAUCAGUUGGGCCAACGCGUUCG